rnacentral:rRNA from 1 species
AUUGAACGCUGGCGGCAUGCCUUACACAUGCAAGUCGAACGGCAGCACGGGAGCUUGCUCCUGGUGGCGAGUGGCGAACGGGUGAGUAAUACAUCGGAACGUACCCAGGAGUGGGGGAUAACGUAGCGAAAGUUACGCUAAUACCGCAUAUUCUGUGAGCAGGAAAGCGGGGGAUCGCAAGACCUCACGUUACAGGAGCGGCCGAUGUCCGAUUAGCUAGUUGGUGGGGUAAAGGCCUACCAAGGCGACGAUCGGUAGCUGGUCUGAGAGGAUGAUCAGCCACACUGGAACUGAGACACGGUCCAGACUCCUACGGGAGGCAGCAGUAGGGAAUAUUGGACAAUGGGGGCAACCCUGAUCCAGCCAUGCCGCGUGAGUGAAGAAGGCCCUCGGGUUGUAAAGCUCUUUUGUCCGGAAAGAAAAGCAAUCGGUUAAUACCCGGUUGUUCUGACGGUACCGGAAGAAUAAGCACCGGCUAACUUCGUGCCAGCAGCCGCGGUAA